UGGGGAAUAUUGCGCAAUGGGGGAAACCCUGACGCAGCGACGUCGUGUGAGGGAAGAAGGCUUUCGGGUCGUAAACCUCUGUCGGAAGGGAAGAAACGUCGGGGCUUUAACAUGGCCUCGGCCUGACGGUACCUUCAAAGGAAGCGCCGGCUAACUCCGUGCCAGCAGCCGCGGUAAUACGGAGGGCGCAAGCGUUAAUCGGAAUCACUGGGCGUAAAGCGUGCGUAGGCUGUUUGAUAAGUCAGGCGUGAAAUCCCUCGGCUCAACCGGGGAACUGCGCUUGAUACUGUCGAACUCGAGUCCUGGAGAGGGUGGCGGAAUUCCUGGUGUAGGAGUGAAAUCCGUAGAUAUCAGGAGGAACACCGGUGGCGAAGGCGGCCACCUGGACAGGUACUGACGC
rnacentral:rRNA from 1 species